rnacentral:rRNA from 1 species
GUCCACGCCCUAAACGAUGUCUACUAGUUGUCGGGUCUUAAUUGACUUGGUAACGCAGCUAACGCGUGAAGUAGACCGCCUGGGGAGUACGGUCGCAAGAUUAAAACUCAAAGGAAUUGACGGGGACCCGCACAAGCGGUGGAUGAUGUGGAUUAAUUCGAUGCAACGCGAAAAACCUUACCUACCCUUGACAUGGAUGGAAUCCUGAAGAGAUUUAGGAGUGCUCGCAAGAGAACCAUCACACAGGUGCUGCAUGGCUGUCGU